rnacentral:rRNA from 1 species
AACGAACGCUGGCGGCAUGCCUAACACAUGCAAGUCCAACGAGAUCUUCGGGUCUAGUGGCGCACGGGUGCGUAACGCGUGGGAAUCUGCCCUUUGGUUCGGAAUAACAGUUGGAAACGACUGCUAAUACCGGAUGAUGACGAAAGUCCAAAGAUUUAUCGCCAGAGGAUGAGCCCGCGUAGGAUUAGCUAGUUGGUGUGGUAAAGGCGCACCAAGGCGACGAUCCUUAGCUGGUCUGAGAGGAUGAUCAGCCACACUGGGACUGAGACACGGCCCAGACUCCUAGGGGAGGCAGCAGUGGGGAAUAUUGGACAAUGGGCGAAAGCCUGAUCCAGCAAUGCCGCGUGAGUGAUGAAGGCCUUAGGGUUGUAAAGCUCUUUUACCCGGGAUGAUAACGACAGUACCGGGAGAAUAAGCUCCGGCUAACUCCGUGCCAGCAGCCGCCGUAA